UGGCUCUGUAAUCUACUUCAUAACUCCAUGGUUGGAUGAGGGCGGGAAAGAGCACUUAGAGGCUGCCAUUUUGUGCCAGGCACCGUACUUGGUUCUCUACAAAUGUUACUUCAUUUCUUCUACACACAGUCCUGUGGAGGGAGAUAUUUUCCCUCCCUCCCUCCCUCCCUCCCUCCCUUCCUUCUUUCCUUCUUUCCUUCUUCCUUUUUUGCUCUUUCUUUCUUUUCUUCCUUUCUCUCUCCCUCCCUCCCUUCCUUCGUUCUUUUUUUUUUCCAGGGUCUAGCUCUGUCACUCAGGCUGGAGUGCAGUGGUAGAAUCUCGGCUCACGGCAGCCUCAACCUCCCAGGCUCAGGGAGGUAUUUUCUCUUUCUUUGUUUGUUUCUCUUUCUUUUUUGUCUUUCUUUUAUUUUUAUUUUUCUCUCUUUGCUUUUUUUUUUUUUUUUUUUAAACAGGGUCUAACUCUGUCAUCCAACCUCCCAGGCUCAAGCUAUCCUCCCACUUCAGCCUCCCAAGUAGCUGGGACUACAGGCGUCACCAUGCCCGGUUAAUUUUUAGAUUUUUAAAUUAUGUUGCCCAGGCUGGUCUUAGUCUUGAAUUCCUGAGCUCAAGCGAUCCUCCUGCCUCAGCCUCCCAAAGUGCUGGGAUUACAGGCAGGAGCCAUCGUGCCCGGCCUUGAGGGAGAUAUUUUCAUCCCUAUUUUCCAGGCUCAGAGAAGUAAAGUGACCUGGCCAAAAAUCACACAAUUGGUUAGUGAUGACCCCAAGAUUUCAACCCUUUUCUGUGAAUUCCAAAACGGAUUCUUUGCACGAAUUUUCCUGAUUGUGUAAGAUUCGAAGCCCUCGCCCUGGGCGCCAGGGUUCCUGGAGGGCGGAGUCCGGCAGGGCGAGGGUAGUCUGGUGGGCGGGAAGGGACUGGCCGCAUAAAGCAAACAGCGCAGCCCACUUUGGCCUCCAGCCGCCCCGGUCCUGGCUCUUGGCCCCGCUGGGAUCUGGGGUGUCUGGCCAUGCGUGAGCACGAGGUGGCGCUGCGGGCCGGGAGCCUCCGCACGGGCAGGGAGGGGCCGCGCGGACUCCCGGGUCGGCGAGGCCCGCCGGGGCUUCCGCUCUCCUUAUGGCUGGCAGGAGGCCAGGGCUGCGGGGUGCAGGGCAGGUUCCCCACGGGAAGGACGAGCCCGCCCAGCGUGAUGGCAUCCGCGCCCAUGCUCUCACUGGGCCUUCACCCUGCCCCGUUUUGCAGAGGAGGAAGCUGCAGCUCGGGCGGAGGUGACCUGCUCCAGAACUGAUUGCCGCAGAAGCCCCCUCCUUCCCUUCGCUGCCCUCCGCACGCUUUGGCCCUGUCUUUAAGGCCUUUUUGUUCCAUGGCCCUCCCGCAAGGACUCCUUCCACAAGCGGGGACUUGGGAAGACCCGGACCCAUUGGGUGAAAGUACCGUGAUCCCUACCUCCAUCUGAAUCCUCUCCUGUCCCAGGAAAUGUAGGGGAAGUGGAGAACAAACAGGAGGACUGUGGGGGCCCGGGGUCUCACCCUGACCUCCCUCUCCUCCACACCGCCCGGCGCCAAGCCUCAGCUCUUUCCUACCUUGACCGCUGGGUGCCAGCCUCGGACCCAGGGCCUCAAGCUGAUACUUCUCCCUGGGGAGGCCUGAUUACAAGAUGGGCAAGCUCCCACCAGUGCAUAUGGCCUGAAUGUUCUGGGCACAGAGUAGGGAUCAGGAAAAACCUGUCAUUGGUGAUGAUGGUAGACAUUCCCUGUAGACUGGCCAGUUAGAAGGAAGAACUUGGUGACAGCAGAGCCACCCAGAUGAGCUCCAAGUGUGAUCUCUGUCAGUGGAAGUGUGCAAACAGGAGCUGGGGUACCAUAGCAGCUGAAGCACCAAGGAAGAACAAAAUACUGUUGCAGUUCAGAGGAGGGAGGUGGAAGGGGCCAAGGAAGCUUCUGCGGGCGGGCAAGAACUAGGUCUACUGGAUAGGAAGGAGGUUGAGAGACAGGGGUGAGGGCAAGGGCAAGGUCCCACAGUAACGCCUGAGCAAGAGAACAGGUGUGCAAGGGCCUGCAUGCUCAUGGCUAUGGCUGGAGCUGGGGUGGCAGGAACAGUGGGGUAGGGCCACGGGAGAUGAGAGGUGAACAGGGUGCAGGAACUCCCUCCUUCACGUCACCUUACUCCCCAAAUCCUGAGAUUAUCAGGCUUUUCAGGGAGAACAAGCUGCCCAGGGCAGGGCCUAACCUGAUUCAUCUUUGUGGCCCCAGAGCCCAGCCCAGGGAUUGCCAGUGGACACUGGCUGAGUAAAGCAAAGAACUUUUUAUAGUGUUUAUUAAAUCAAGGACCGGUUAGAUAGAUGAUGGGCUAGGCCGGUUGAAAGUGACACUCCGUUAAAAAGGCAACAAC
rnacentral:lncRNA from 10 species